rnacentral:misc_RNA from 1 species
GAUGAAGAACGCAGCGAAAUGCGAUAAGUAGUGUGAAUUGCAGAAUUCAGUGAAUCAUCGAAUCUUUGAACGCACAUUGCGCCCUUUGGUAUUCCAAAGGGCAUGCCUGUUCGAGCGUCAUUUGUACCCUCAAGCUUUGCUUGGUGUUGGGCGUCUUGUCUCUAGCUUUGCUGGAGACUCGCCUUAAAGUAAUUGGCAGCCGGCCUACUGGUUUCGGAGCGCAGCACAAGUCGCACUCUCUAUCAGCAAAGGUCUAGCAUCCAUUAAGCCUUUGUUUCAACUUUUGACCUCGGAUCAGGUAGGGAUACCCGCUGAACUUAAGCAUAUCAAUAAGCGGAGGA